AUUGAACGCUGGCGGCAGGCUUAACACAUGCAAGUCGAGCGGAGAGAGGUAGCUUGCUACCGAUCUUAGCGGCGGACGGGUGAGUAAUGCUUAGGAAUCUGCCUAUUAGUGGGGGACAACAUUUCGAAAGGAAUGCUAAUACCGCAUACGUCCUACGGGAGAAAGCAGGGGAUCUUCGGACCUUGCGCUAAUAGAUGAGCCUAAGUCGGAUUAGCUAGUUGGUGGGGUAAAGGCCUACCAAGGCGACGAUCUGUAGCGGGUCGGAGAGGAUGGUCCGCCACACUGGGACUGAGACACGGCCAAGACUCCUACGGGAGGCAGCAGUGGGGAAUGUUGGACAAUGGGCGGAAGCCUGAUCCAGCCAUGCCGCGUGUGUGAAGAAGGCCUUAUGGUUGUAAAGCACUUUAAGCGAGGAGGAGGCUACUUUAGUUAAUACCUAGAGAUAGUGGACGUUACUCGCAGAAUAAGCACCGGCUAACUCUGUGCCAGCCGCCGCAGUAAAAC
rnacentral:rRNA from 1 species